AGGCAAAUCCGCUUUGAUAAUGCUGGGAUGUGAUGGGGAGCGAAAUUUAGUAGCGAAGUAGCUGAUUUCACACUGUCAAGAAAAGUCUCUAUCGAGGUUAAAGGUACCCGUACCGCAAACCGACACAGGUGGGUGAGGAGAGUAUCCUAAGGCCAGCGAGAGAACUGUUGUUAAGGAACUCGGCAAAAUGACCCCGUAACUUAGGGAUAAGGGGUGCCACCAUCAGGUGGCCGCAGAGAAUAGGCCCAAGCGACUGUUUACCAAAAACAUAGGUUUCUGCUAAGUCGCAAGACGAUGUAUAGGAGCUGACGCCUGCCCGGUGCUGGAAGGUUAAGGGGAUCUGUUAGAGCAAUCGAAGCAGUGAACUUAAGCCCCAGUAAACGGCGGCCGUAACUAUAACGGUCCUAAGGUAGCGAAAUUCCUUGUCGGGUAAGUUCCGACCCGCACGAAAGGCGUAACGAUUUGGGCACUGUCUCAACAACAGACUCGGUGAAAUUGUAAUUCCGGUGAAGAUGCCGGAUACCUGCGACAGGACGGAAAGACCCCAUGGAGCUUUACUGUAGCUUGACAUUGGGUCUUGGUACUACAUGUACAGGAUAGGUGGGAGGCUUUGAAACCAGGACGCCAGUUUUGGCGGAGCCAUCCUUGGGAUACCACCCUUGUAGUACUGGGACUCUAACCAUAGGCCAUGAAUCUGGUCUUGGGACACUGUCAGGUGGGCAGUUUGACUGGGGCGGUCGCCUCCCAAAAGGUAACGGAGGCGCUCAAAGGUUCUCUCAGUACGGUCGGAAAUCGUACGUAGAGUGUAAAGGCAAAAGAGAGCUUGAUUGCAAGACAUACAGGUCGAGCAAGGAUGAAAAUCGGACUUAGUGAUCCGGUGGUUCUGCGUGGAAGGGCCAUCGCUCAACGGAUAAAAGCUACCCUGGGGAUAACAGGCUUAUCUCCCCCAAGAGUCCACAUCGACGGGGAGGUUUGGCACCUCGAUGUCGGCUCAUCACAUCCUGGGGCUGUAGUAGGUCCCAAGGGUUGGGCUGUUCGCCCAUUAAAGUGGUACGCGAGCUGGGUUCAGAACGUCGUGAGACAGUUCGGUCCCUAUCCGUCGCAGGCGUAGGAAAUUUGAGAAGACCUGUCCUUAGUACGAGAGGACCGGGAUGGACG
rnacentral:rRNA from 1 species